rnacentral:snRNA from 1 species
GUGCUCACUUCGGCAGCACAUAUACUAAAAUUGGAACAAUACAGAAAAGAUUAGCAUGGCCCCUGCGCAAGAAUGACACGCAAAUU